CAGCAGUCCCAAACAGCAAAUAUCCAGAGUGAUGAAAGCAAAAGAAACUCCAGAAGUUCAGAAUAUUGGAGGGAGGAUGGAGCUGCUCGCAUAGGCCUCUACAAAAACGCAAGGGUUUGAGCCUGCCUUGAAGGAUGAUAAGUAGAGUUGAAGUAGAAAAGCAGAGGAGACUGACUGGAAGCCACACUGCCACGUGAUUCACACACAAGCUUUAAUGAUGCCUCCUGUCUCCUCAAGAUCCAGUGGAAAAGAGAAUGGGAUGUAUGCCAAAGAGGAGAGUCAAGGACUAGAGAUUCUCAGCACUCUCAACACACUGCACAGAGAUGGCAGGCGCUCCACCACAGUGGCAUCUUUCGCUGUUAGUCCUCAAGAUCUACCUCUCUCCUUUCAAGGGCCCCGUAGUGUUUCAUCGCACAACGAGCUAGGAGCGGCCAGGUAACAUGUGGUAGCCCGUGAAAUGCAAGCAGAGAUCUGGUGGGCGAGGCUUCUAGGAAAGCUACUGCUGUCCUCAGAAAAAAGCAAACAUUGUAUUCUGCAUGGACGUUAACUACAACAAUUCCCAGUUAGCUGUUGGGCUGCCAACACAUGCGGACACGCGGGCUCAUUCCAAGGUCCACAGGUGGCAUCCUUCCUGAGAGCUCGCAAGAUGGAGAAGUCUAUGUGGCCUUUCCCCGAGUGACGACACAGCCAAGAGCUGUUGGAUUCCAGCCUCCUCCUUAGCGUUCUAGUUUUCUAGCUCUCCGUCUACAUUCCUGAUGAACUUUAGCAGUACAUUGUCAAGGCAAAGAGGGAUAAUCUGAAGUGGAAAAGGAAGAGGAAGAAGAAGAGGAAGAAGAAGAGAUAAUUUCCUGUUUCCUUUGGAGAGUCAUAAAAUUAAAGGUUAUUUUACUGCAAUUUUUCUUCUCCUAAAUAUUUGGAUAACACACUGGGGUGACUAAAUGGAUAGUUUGAAUCUGCUGUGAAGACGGCCAAUCUGUAAAGAAAAGCUAAGAGAACGGGGAGUCCAAAUGCACUUGGAGUACCUGGAAAUUACACCUGGCAGCCAGCAACCUCUGUGCUUCUUUGUUGUACCGUAUUUUCUGCCGGCGGCUUUCAGGGGUGCCUUUAUUUCACUGAUUACUAAAUUAGUGUUGGAUUUAAUGAGAGAGAUCUGUCCUUUUAUUUGUGCCUUUUUUCCUUCUUCUUACUUAAAAAAAAAAACAGGAUCAGCCUCACAAAGGCUUUGCACAUUUCUAGCUUGCUUUUGAAGAUGUGACCAUUUGCUCCCAUCUAUCUCCAUGGUAAUAAGCUCCCUCCACCCCCAAUUUUCCAAGCCUCAGAUACUUAGGAAGCUUCAGGACUGGAGUAGGGUUGCAUGCUAAAAUAAUGCAGAGAAACAAAUUGUUCUCUGUAAAUAGGCCUCAUCUUCAAAGCAUUCGAAUAUUCUCCAAAAUGUGAUCCAUUUCUCUUUGCUUGAAAACAGGCGUAUUUUAGAUAAAAUAUUCGAAAGUAAAGUUUCGCAUCUCAGGAAAUGCAUCUCAGUAAGAGCCUGUAUUCUAAAACAAGACUUGGACAGGAUUUUAAAACUGGAAGUGGCCUCAGACUUCAUCUAGUCCAAGACUUUUAUUGUACACUUGAGGAAACUGAGGCUUUAGUACAGCUCAUUGUUUU
ensembl:lncRNA